rnacentral:lncRNA from 1 species
CAGAUACUACAAGUAUGCGAUAGUUGUUUACAUCAUUGUUACUGUGAAAAUUGACAACACGAUUCAUAUAUGCACGUCUUUCUCAUAUUCAGGUGCACCUAUUGAUAUGCGAAACUGGAAUGCUGCAAGAAUAUUUUCUUACAAAGAAAUAAAAGCAGCUACAAACAACUUUAAGGAAGUCAUAGGUCGUGGUGGUUUCGGAUCUGUUUACCUUGGAAAGCUAUCAGAUGGCAAACUGGUAGCAGUAAAAGUGCGAUCUGAUCGAACUCAAUUGGGUGCCGACUCUUUUAUUAACGAGGUUUAUCAUCUAACCUUCUCUCCAGUUUCCUUGCCUAACACAUAAUUCAAUGUGAGCUCAGUGAUUUUCUAGCCAUUCUAUUGAAGAACUUAACUGAAGACUCUAUACAAUCAUCUAUACCAUUAAUUAAUGAUAAUCUUUAGGGGUAUUUCAAUUUGACCUAAAUGCCUCUCCAUGCAUAUGGAAUGCCUGCAGGUUCAUCUGUUAUCGAAAAUUCGACAUCAAAAUCUUGUAUGCUUGGAAGGAUUUUGUUAUGAAUCAAAGAAGCAGAUACUAGUGUAUGGGUAUCUACCUGGUGGAUCACUGGCUGAUUACCUCCAUGGUAUGUUUGGAAGGAUAAAUCUGUUCCUCUCACAUGCUAAAAUACGCCCUGGUUCAACCUUGAUGUUUUGUUUUCAGGUCCAAAUAGUCAAAAGUUUUCUUUAAGCUGGGUUCGGAGACUGAAAAUAGCUGUUGAUGCUGCAAAAGGUAAGUCUGGUACACUGUUUAGCAAUGGGAAAAUUUCGUGUUUUCUGGUUCGAACUUUUCGUACCUGCAUAUGGUAACAAUUUUUUCUUCAAACAUAAUGAUUAUAAGAUCCUAACAUAGAAGCAACCCUUUCUGGGGAUUAAUAUUUGAUGCAUAAUCUUCUUGUUUACCACAAUGACAAAUUUUCACAUUUUAUAUCUGUUUCUUUUUGAAGGGCUGGACUACUUGCAUAACGGGAGCGAUCCAAGAAUAAUACACCGCGAUGUCAAGUGCAGUAACAUCCUUU